rnacentral:misc_RNA from 1 species
UACUAACUGCCAGCUCCAAAACAGAGUUUCUUCCACCCACCUUGACAUUUAUCUUUAGAGAGAGGUUUUCAAGAAAUGCAAUAGAUGGGGGUCGUAAAUUCUUUGGGUGGCAACAUUGGGAAACAAUUCCCAAAUCUAUUUCACACAGACGCUUGAUCCUUCCUGAAAAAAAGAAGACAUCAUCCAAAUUAAAUCAGCAGCAUUCAACUACCUACGUCAUUUUUG